rnacentral:misc_RNA from 1 species
UUUAUAAUAAUUAAAUACAAUACUAACAAGUAAAGUAUCUAGUAUUGAUAAAUGUGCUAGUGAAAAUGUAUACAAUGAUGACGUCGUAAUAUAAUCGAUUUUUUUCCAUUUUAUUAUCCCUUCCAUAACACAUCACAUUCUACCUGUGCACUACAUUAGUCUUUGCAGGUGAAGCAUCGAACUUAAAUUAAGGAAGAUUUGAACGCAGUGCUGUAAAGAUCUUUCAACUCGUAACGAAUGGUCUAAAAGAUAAUGGACAUAUUUGCUAUGAUUAGAAUUUGGUCUAUCACCUACUUCCUGCUGCUAAUAGCGUCUUUACAUAAUGUACUCGCGUCGCCAUGCUAUAGCUGUAUGGAUGCUAAAAUGUAUUCUAAUGAUAAUUUCAUAAAGACUUUUCUGCAGGUCAAUUCAAAAGUACUAAAGAGUACAAACUGCAAAUCUCUUGAUAAUCAUACUCCAACUUCGCCUUGUGUAUCUAAUGCCGGAGCGAAUCCAUUCGUCGAUGAGAAAUGUGGAACAUUUAAUGGAAAAGUCAAAAUUGCCAUACGCCGUUCAUACUCCCCAUUACCUGGCUACCUAUAUAUAGAUGGUAUGUUUCGCCAAUGUGUUGGAGUGGUACAAUCAUACAAGAAUAAAUGUUAUGGCAAUGAAAAAGAAAUGCAUCACAUUAUGGAUAAAAACUUAUUUAUAUAUCAAUUUCUAAAAGCAAAUUUCAAGUCCAAAUCUUAUAAUAUAUCUACAAUUUCCGGCUCCUUUUGUUUAUGUGAAGGUGAAUACUGUAAUAACGAUUGCAAUAAUGGAUUUUGGUUUCAUAAAAAAGCAAAUUGCCUCAAAUAUUGGGUUGUUGGUUUGAUAGCUGCAGGAGGAUUACUAGUGAUAGUAGCCGUUAUCUUAUUUAUAAAAUUUAUUCUUAAACGAUCACGAGGUAAAACUUCAGCAGUUCAACCUAACUCUAACGCUACUGGAGCAUCAAUGACACCAGGAAUAGCAUUAACAGUUCCCAGUGGUCAAACAGCCACUAAGAGCCGAGAUUACCCAAUUGCAUCACCAUUGUAUACAGAAUAUCCACAAAGUGAACCUCCACCCUACAAUGAUUCUCAUUACGAGAGCUUAGGCCCUCAUUAUUAAAUAAGAACGAUCGUGAUGAGUUAGUGUAUGACUCUUUUUCUUUUUUUCUACCAAAAAAACUUUGAGUUUUAUCACUUUUCUUGUAAAUUUAAAUCCAGUGCCAUGUUCGAUGUGUUAUAGAAGAAUGACAUAAAUUUAAACCGACUUUAUUUUUAACUACAUUCAAACAUAAUUUGGUUUGUCUAUGAAUAAAAGUUUUAUCAUUGUCGUUGUAUUCCCAUGUUUGACUACUUUUGGAAGAGUAUAAACAUUGCCCCAUUAUAAUGUCAUUACUUUCCUUUUCCCAUGUCCAACAAUACUCCCAAUUAUGAUUUCGAAUUUCUCCUAUAGUCGUCAAAAACCAUAUUAAUUUUUUAUCUUUAGAGCAUGGCGA